ACGAAGGGGGCUAGCGUUGUUCGGAAUUACUGGGCGUAAAGCGUGCGCAGGCGGCUUCUCAAGUCAGGGGUGAAAGCCCAGAGCUCAACUCUGGAAUUGCCUUUGAGACUGAGUGGCUUGAGUACGAGAGAGGUGAGUGGAAUUCCCAGUGUAGAGGUGAAAUUCGUAGAUAUUGGGAAGAACACCGGUGGCGAAGGCGGCUCACUGGCUCGUAACUGACGCUGAGGUGCGAAAGCGUGGGUAGCGAACAGGA
rnacentral:rRNA from 1 species